GUGUUUUUCAUAGUAUUAGAUAUAAGAUUAAUUAAAGGAGACUGUACCCGCUUGUGAUAAGUAAGUACAUCAAAAACAGAAGCGUCUGUUUGAUUGAUAAAUGUGUAAGGAGCAUCGGUUUACCAGAGCCGAUGCUUUUUUUGU
rfam:Bacteroides cellulosilyticus CAG:158 genomic scaffold, scf243